rnacentral:rRNA from 1 species
UACGUAGGGCGCGAGCGUUGUCCGGAAUCAUUGGGCGUAAAGAGCUCGUAGGCGGCCGGUUGCGUCUGCUGUGAAAUCCCGGGGCUUAACCCCGGGCGUGCAGUGGAUACGGGCUGGCUGGAGGCAGGCAGGGGAGAAUGGAAUUCCGCGUGUAGCAGUGAAAUGCGUAGAUAUGCGGAGGAACACCGAUGGCGAAGGCAAUCCCCUGGGCCUGCACUGACGCUCAUGCACGAAAGCGUGGGGAGCAAACAGG